GAUGAACGCUGGCGGCGUGCCUAACACAUGCAAGUCGAACGGAGUUUAACGCUGAUGAAGCUUCGGCAGAUUCUUGUUAAACUUAGUGGCGGACGGGUGAGUAACGCGUGGGUAACCUGCCUCAUACAGGGGGAUAGCAGUUGGAAACGACUGAUAACACCGCAUAAGCGCACGGUAUCGCAUGAUACAGUGUGAAAAUAUUUAUAGGUAUGAGAUGGACCCGCGUCUGAUUAGCUAGUUGGUGAGGUAACGGCCCACCAAGGCGACGAUCAGUAGCCGGCCUGAGAGGGCGGACGGCCACAUUGGGACUGAGACACGGCCCAAACUCCUACGGGAGGCAGCAGUGGGGGAUAUUGCACAAUGGGCGAAAGCCUGAUGCAGCGACGCCGCGUGAGUGAAGAAGUAUUUCGGUAUGUAAAGCUCUAUCAGCAGGGAAGAAAGACCUCGUAAGAGG
rnacentral:rRNA from 1 species